CCUACGGGGGGCUGCAGUGGGGAAUUUUGGACAAUGGGCGAAAGCCUGAUCCAGCAAUGCCGCGUGCAGGAUGAAGGCCUUCGGGUUGUAAACUGCUUUUGUACGGAACGAAAAAGCUUCUCCUAAUACGAGAGGCCCAUGACGGUACCGUAAGAAUAAGCACCGGCUAACUACGUGCCAGCAGCCGCGGUAAUACGUAGGGUGCGAGCGUUAAUCGGAAUUACUGGGCGUAAAGCGUGCGCAGGCGGUUAUGUAAGACAGAUGUGAAAUCCCCGGGCUCAACCUGGGAACUGCAUUUGUGACUGCAUGGCUAGAGUACGGUCGAGGGGGAUGGAAUUCCGCGUGUAGCAGUGAAAUGCGUAGAUAUGCGGAGGAACACCGAUGGCGAAGGCAAUCCCCUGGACCUGUACUGACGCCCAUGCACGAACGCGUGUGGAGCAAACAGGAUUAGAUACCCGGGUAGUC
rnacentral:rRNA from 1 species